UACGAAGGGGGCUAGCGUUGUUCGGAAUCACUGGGCGUAAAGGGCGCGUAGGCGGCUAUUCAAGUCGGGGGUGAAAGUCUGUGGCUCAACCACAGAAUUGCCUUCGAUACUGUUUGGCUUGAGACCGGAAGAGGACAGCGGAACUGCGAGUGUAGAGGUGAAAUUCGUAGAUAUUCGCAAGAACACCAGUGGCGAAGGCGGCUGUCUGGUCCGGUUCUGACGCUGAGGCGCGAAAGCGUGGGGAGCAAACAGG
rnacentral:rRNA from 1 species